GUCUGUCUGUAAUAAAGAGAUGGGGAGAGGUCUGUCUGUAAUAAAGAGAUGGGGAGAGGUCUGUCUGUAAUAAAGAGAUGGGGAGAGGUCUGUCUGUAAUAAAGAGAGGGGGAGAGGUCUGUCUGUAAUAAAGAGAUGGGGAGAGGUCUGUCUGUAAUAAAGAGAGGGGGAGAGGUCUGUCUGUAAUAAAGAGAUGGGGAGAGGUCUGUCUGUAAUAAAGAGAUGGGGAGAGGUCUGUCUGUAAUAAAGAGAUGGGGAGAGGUCUGUCUGUAAUAAAGAGAAGGGGAGAGGUCUGGCCGUAAUAAAGAGAUGGGGAGAGGUCUGUCUGUAGUAAAGAGAUGGGGAGAGGUCUAGCCAUAACACAGAGAUGGGGAGAGGUCUGUCUGUAAUAAAGAGAUGGGGAGAGAUCUGUCUGUAAUAAAGAGAUGGGGAGAGGUCUGUCUGUAAUAAAGAGAUGGGGAGAGGUCUGUCUGUAUUAAAGAGAUGGGGAGAGGUCUGUCUGUAAUAAAGAGAUGGGGAGAGGUCUGUCUGUAAUAAAG
ensembl:lncRNA